rnacentral:rRNA from 1 species
GACGAACGCUGGCGGCGCGCUUAACACAUGCAAGUCGAACGGUAAGGCCUGCUUUCCCUUGUGGAUUGCGGGUACUCGAGUGGCGAACGGGUGAGUAACACGUGAGUGAUCUGCCCCCAACUUGGGUAUAAGCCUGGGAAACUGGGUCUAAUUCCCGAUAGGACUGCAGGGUGGUGCCUGUGGUGGAAAACGAUUUUCUAGUGGUUGGGGAUGAGCUCGCGGCCUAUCAGCUUGUUGGUGGGGUAAUGGCCUACCAAGGCGGCGACGGGUAGCCGGCCUGAGAGGGUGGACGGCCACAUUGGGACUGAGAUACGGCCCAGACUCCUACGGGAGGCAGCAGUGGGGAAUAUUGCACAAUGGGCGGAAGCCUGAUGCAGCGACGCCGCGUGGGGGAUGACGGCCUUCGGGUUGUAAACUCCUUUCGACCGCGAGGAAGCCACCUGGUUGGAAGGGUGGUGACGGUAGUGGUAGAAGAAGCACCGGCUAACUACGUG